UAACAAGGAUUCCCCUAGUAACUGCGAGUGAAGCGGGAAAAGCUCAAAUUUAAAAUCUGGCUGCCUCCGGUGGUCCGAGUUGUAAUCUGGAGAAGCGUUUUCCGCGUCGGACCGUGUACAAGUCUUCUGGAACGGAGCGUCAUAGAGGGUGAGAAUCCCGUCUCUGACACGGACUACCGAUGCUUUUGUGAUGCGCUCUCGAAGAGUCGAGUUGUUUGGGAAUGCAGCUCAAAAUGGGAGGUAAAUUCCUUCUAAAGCUAAAUAUUGGCUAGAGACCGAUAGCGAACAAGUACCGUGAGGGAAAGAUGAAAAGCACUUUGGAAAGAGAGUUAAACAGUACGUGAAAUUGUUGAAAGGGAAACGCUUGAAGUCAGUCGCGUUGAUCGAGACUCAGCCUGGCUUGCCUGGUGUACUUCUCGGUCGACGGGUCAGCAUCAGUUUUGACCGCCGGAUAAAGGUUGGAGGAAUGUGGCAUCCUUCGGGAUGUGUUAUAGCCUCUGAUUCGCAUACGGCGAUUGGGACUGAGGAACUCAGCACGCCUUUAUGGUCGGGGUUCGCCCACGUAACGUGCUUAGGAUGCUGGCAUAAUGGCUUUAAGCGACCCGUCUUGAAACACGGACCAAGGAGUCUAACAUGCCCGCGAGUGUUUGGGUGUCAAACCCGAGCGCGUAAUGAAAGUGAAAGUUGAGAUCCCUGUCGUGGGGAGCAUCGACGCCCGGACCAGACCUUCUGUGACGGAUCUGCGGUAGAGCGUGUAUGUUGGGACCCGAAAGAUGGUGAACUAUGCCUGAAUAGGGUGAAGCCAGAGGAAACUCUGGUGGAGGCUCGUAGCGAUUCUGACGUGCAAAUCGAUCGUCGAAUUUGGG
rnacentral:rRNA from 1 species